CCCUUAGAUGUUCUGGGCCGCACGCGCGCUACACUGAUAAUGUCAACAAGCUUUACCUUGGCCGAUAGGUCUGGGCAAUCUUCGAACUAUUAUCGUGAUGGGGCUAGAUUAUUGCAACUAUUAAUCUUAAACGAGGAAUUCCUAGUAAGCGCGAGUCAUCAGCUCGCGUUGAUUACGUCCCUGCCCUUUGUACACACCGCCCGUCGCUCCUACCGAUUGGAUUGGCUGGUGAAGCGUUCGGAUUGUGGGUUCGGAGCGGUUCACCGUUCUGGGCUUGCGAGAAGUUCGUUAAACCCUCCUAUCUAGAGGAAGGAGAAGUCGUAACA
rnacentral:rRNA from 1 species